CGGGCGCGCGCGCCGGAAGUGACGCGCAGGCCCGGGACCCCGGGGGCGGGCGGUGGACCCCCAGCUGGCAGAGCCUGGGGCGGGGGCCUGAGGUGGCGUGGACCGCUUCUUCCCCCGCGGUCGCCCGGGCUGGCGCUCGCGUGCCCAUCGCUGAGAUAGUGGGAGGUGGAGUGGGAACCGCUAGCUUUGCAGAACGCAGAGUCCCUCCUCACCCUGGCGGUCCCGGUGCCCUGGAGUGCAGUCGCGGAAUACUGUUCAGCGGCUCGGGUGGUUUUCCUUGCGUCCCGCCACGCGGCGGCUCCUCACUAAAAGGCUGCCUUCUCCCCACAGCUCCAGGUCCGAGAGGAGCCGCACCGUCGGGUUGGAGAUCGCGCGCAAGGGUGGCCUCUGGGUCUGCAUCUGCCCCGCAUCGGCCACAGGAAAAGCCUGGUCCCUAGGCACGGUCGUGGUUCGAGCUUUUCGUUCUCUCGCACAUUGAGGUAUUCGCUCAGCCCACCACGUUGUCCUCGGGGUUAUUAGGCCCCAGUCACAAGCCCUAUGAUGUUUUCAGACUUCCCAGGUGGAGAUAAAGGAAAAUUUUACUAUUUCUGCAGAACUUCUGUUGAUGUACAGCAUUGUAUUUAGCAACUUCUGUGUAGAUCUGAAAAUAAAUACAUUACCAAUUGUUAGUUGCGUUUUUAUUAAUAUAAAUCUUAGAGUACUUGAUUUUGCUGUUAGCUUUACUUAGGUAAAUUAUGUGGCACUCUAGCAUUUUUGUUGUUGCAUGUUCCAUUGAACUUUGCUCUGUGUUUUCCAUUUAUUCCAAAUUCAAAAUAGACUGUAACUUCCCAAUUUAUUCUAUGUUCCCAAGGCACCAGGCAUAGUAGGUGUUUUAUGAAUACCUGUUGACUUGAAAUUUCUCAGACUUUUAAAAAAUUUUUCAUUACUGACAAAAGAUGGAGCGAUAAAAAGAUUCUUAGUACACUUCCUAUUAUUGCCAAUUCUAUUAGUAAUGUAUACUGCAUUACAACUUCUAUACAAGCAGUAACUCAUUUGCUCCUCAUAAGAACCCUAUGAGAGAUGUGGUUUUACUGUCAUCAUUUUAGGAGCAAAUUAAGGCACAAAGAAGUGACUUACCCAAGGUUACACAGCUAUUAUCUGGUGGAAGCAGGAUUUGAACCCUGGCAAUUGGGCUCCAAAGUCUGAUCCUUUGUCUAUAAUGUUGACAAAAACUUGUGGAUGUUGUGGUAAAUUGCUUUCUCUCCAUUUGAAAUCCCAUUGAGUUGAAGAGAUAGACGCAUAGUGAGUAUACGUCCCAAGGAAAUGUAUUAUAUUGUUUUCUGGGUUUCAGUUAAUUCAAAUAAAAUAAAAAUAGUGAAGCAAAGAUUUGGACUAGAUGCUGUGAGGUUUUGUGUCAGCAUGCAACAGUGUCACAACAGUGUCAUCACCACGUUUGGUUCUGUGUUGUGGAUGUAAUAUUUUGCCCCACAUACAUAGAAAGUUCAAUGAAUAGCACUGAACCACAUAUAUACCAAAUUAAAGACAACUUUUGAUAUUAUGUAUUCUAGAGGGAAUCUUUCUGGUAUCAGAAUAUUCAUACUACUGUCAUUGGGAUGAGUUUUAAAUGUAUACCUUUUUAAAUAAAUCCUCUUUAAUAAUAAAA
rnacentral:lncRNA from 1 species